rnacentral:rRNA from 1 species
UACGUAGGUGGCAAGCGUUGUCCGGAAUUAUUGGGCGUAAAGCGCGCGCAGGCGGUCCUUUAAGUCUGAUGUGAAAGCCCACGGCUCAACCGUGGAGGGUCAUUGGAAACUGGGGGACUUGAGUGCAGAAGAGGAGAGUGGAAUUCCACGUGUAGCGGUGAAAUGCGUAGAGAUGUGGAGGAACACCAGUGGCGAAGGCGACUCUCUGGAACGCAACUGACGCUGAGACGCGAAAGCGUGGGGAGCAAACAGG